UGAAAAAUGGAGGCUGGGCUCCAUUCAGAGCAAACCGUUGCCCAAAACCCCGUUACCACUGAUGCUGCUGGAGGCAGCAAACGGCUUCAUUUUAGCCUCAGCUACCAGCCUGGUUUGCAGAGGAGGCACCUCUGGACUUGCCAGCUGUGCACCUUUGAACUGGACAAGCCAGGAGUCCCGCAGAGAGAUUUUUUACGAUGCCUCUUCAGAGCGAAAUUUCCUUUUCAUUUUUCAGUCUUGGCAGGAGCAAUCUUCAGCCUUGUCUCUUUUGAUUUUCCACCUCGUUCCUCACACUACCUGCUGAGGACACAGCUUCAGUAUUUGUGCAGCACCGGAGGGGAGGCUGCCGUGGCCUGCAGCCGGUCACGGCCACCGGCACCGUGCUGCAGAAGUCGCACAGCAGCUGAUUAGAGAACACAAGCAUCCCCCAGUAGGACCACACUGCAUUUUUUCCUCCCCAUGGGCAGAGCUCUCACGCGGGGGCAGCUAGGCUGGGUGGGAGAGGUGCUGGGCGCAGCCACCAGCAGUCAGUAUUACCUGGGCAUCCGAGUGUCAUUUGUGUAAGGAGUUCACCUGGCAGGGCUCAGCGGCCAAACACCUGAUUUUUGCAAGCAAGAAGUCUACCAGAGCCUUCAGGCUUCCCCUCAUGUUUCCUUCCAUUUUGAUGUACUAAACGCUGCCCAGGGCUUGGUGCUCAGAGCAAGCCCAGCACCGUCUCCAUGCUCAGCCGCCACUGAGACAUCCUUUAACUUCCAUCCAGGCACCCGGCCAGCGGUGAGCAAAGGGCACCUCUGCACAGUGCCUCGGAGGGAUGCUUGGACAGAGGCUGCUCUGGCCCGGAUGCGACUUGGUAGCUGGCCAUGUAAUACCGCUUACGUGGCUUUUAUAGGAAACACAGACAGUUUUCCUUUUGGGAGCAGCCUCCUCCCUCGUGUUGCUUACGAGGUGCAGGAGCAGGGCGGGUGCAGCCAGCCAGUUGUGCACCCUGACUGCCAGGAAAACCCUGUGUGCUCGGUGGCUUUUUCACCCAGACGCAGAACUUACCAUGGGGCCCUGUGGAUGUUUCCGUUCUGCUCCCACUCUACAAUUUCUAAGCCCUUGCACAGUGUUUCCUCUUGUGGACUCCUGCCUCUUUCCGUGCUGCCAACCACAGGAGAAGAUAAUGUGUUUUGUCCUUUUCCCAACCUCCCUCACCCUCCUGACCUCUCUCCUUGUUUUAUUUCUGAAUUAACGAAUGACCAUUCACCUGAGAUGAACCUCUGGGUCAUUAACUUUUCUUUGCUGCACCCCUUCCCCUGUAAUAGCAUUACUACCUUUUACUUGUUGUGCCGUUAUUUAACAUAUAAAGAUGGUUUGGUCCUUUUCUUUAAAAAGAUGGCUACAAUUCAUGUUCCUUGAUGUUAUAUUAAAACUCUAAUGUGACAUUUUACUACUGUAGAUUGAAAGUAGGGUGCUCUAGGGUUGGACAGCC
rnacentral:lncRNA from 1 species